rnacentral:rRNA from 1 species
GUCCCUCGCGGAUGGAGCUGAAAUCAGUCGAAGAUACCAGCUGGCUGCAACUGUUUAUUAAAAACACAGCACUGUGCAAACACGAAAGUGGACGUAUACGGUGUGACGCCUGCCCGGUGCCGGAAGGUUAAUUGAUGGGGUUAGCGCAAGCGAAGCUCUUGAUCGAAGCCCCGGUAAACGGCGGCCGUAACUAUAACGGUCCUAAGGUAGCGAAAUUCCUUGUCGGGUAAGUUCCGACCUGCACGAAUGGCGUAAUGAUGGCCAGGCUGUCUCCACCCGAGACUCAGUGAAAUUGAACUCGCUGUGAAGAUGCAGUGUACCCGCGGCAAGACGGAAAGACCCCGUGAACCUUUACUAUAGCUUGACACUGAACAUUGAGCCUUGAUGUGUAGGAUAGGUGGGAGGCUUAGAAGUGUGGACGCCAGUCUGCAUGGAGCCGACCUUGAAAUACCACCCUUUAAUGUUUGAUGUUCUAACGUUGACCCGUAAUCCGGGUUGCGGACAGUGUCUGGUGGGUAGUUUGACUGGGGCGGUCUCCUCCUAAAGAGUAACGGAGGAGCACGAAGGUUGGCUAAUCCUGGUCGGACAUCAGGAGGUUAGUGCAAUGGCAUAAGCCAGCUUGACUGCGAGCGUGACGGCGCGAGCAGGUGCGAAAGCAGGUCAUAGUGAUCCGGUGGUUCUGAAUGGAAGGGCCAUCGCUCAACGGAUAAAAGGUACUCCGGGGAUAACAGGCUGAUACCGCCCAAGAGUUCAUAUCGACGGCGGUGUUUGGCACCUCGAUGUCGGCUCAUCACAUCCUGGGGCUGAAGUAGGUCCCAAGGGUAUGGCUGUUCGCCAUUUAAAGUGGUACGCGAGCUGGGUUUAGAACGUCGUGAGACAGUUCGGUCCCUAUCUGCCGUGGGCGCUGGAGAACUGAGGGGGGCUGCUCCUAGUACGAGAGGACCGGAGUGGACGCAUCACUGGUGUUCGGGUUGUCAUGCCAAUGGCACUGCCCGGUAGCUAAAUGCGGAAGAGAUAAGUGCUGAAAGCAUCUAAGCACGAAACUUGCCCCGAGAUGAGUUCUCCCUGACUCCUUGAGAGUCCUGAAGGAACGUUGAAGACGACGACGUUGAUAGGCCGGGUGUGUAAGCGCAGCGAUGCGUUGAGCUAACCGGUACUAAUGAACCGUGAGGCUUAACCUU